UGGGGAAUAUUGCACAAUGGGCGCAAGCCUGAUGCAGCCAUGCCGCGUGUAUGAAGAAGGCCUUCGGGUUGUAAAGUACUUUCAGUCGGGAGGAAGGUGGUAAGGUUAAUAACCUUAUCAAUUGACGUUACCGACAGAAGAAGCACCGGCUAACUCCGUGCCAGCAGCCGCGGUAAUACGGAGGGUGCAAGCGUUAAUCGGAAUUACUGGGCGUAAAGCGCACGCAGGCGGUUGAUUGAGUCAGAUGUGAAAUCCCCGGGCUUAACCCGGGAAUUGCAUCUGAUACUGGUCAGCUAGAGUCUAGUAGAGGGGGGUAGAAUUCCAUGUGUAGCGGUGAAAUGCGUAGAGAUGUGGAGGAAUACCGGUGGCGAAGGCGGCCCCCUGGACAAAGACUGACGCUCAGGUGCGAAAGCGUGGGGAGCAAACAGG
rnacentral:rRNA from 1 species